AAAGAAUUGUGAGAGAAGAGGGAUGAGAAAAGAACAGGAGCGACUUUGGCAGGCUGGCCCUUCCCUACUGCACUGUGGCUCUUCAGGUGCUACGGAAACUUGGGGCAUGAAACUGAGCUUUGAGGGAAGCAGGGAAGGACUCCUGGAGGAGAUGAUACUCUGGAGCAGAAUCUUUAAGGGUUCUUCUCAUGGUAUUAGAAGAUAUUGAAUAUAGUUCCCUGUGCUAUACAG